UACGUAGGGUGCAAGCGUUGUCCGGAAUUAUUGGGCGUAAAGAGCUCGUAGGCGGUUUGUUGCGUCGGCUGUGAAAUCCCGAGGCUCAACCUCGGGUCUGCAGUCGAUACGAGCAAACUAGAGUGUUGCAGGGGAGACUGGAAUUCCUGGUGUAGCGGUGAAAUGACGCAGAUAUCAGGAGGAACACCGGUGGGCGAAAGGC
rnacentral:rRNA from 1 species